GGACUCUAUUGAGGCCCCGUAAUCGGAAUGAGUACACUUUAAAUCCUUUAACAAGGAUCCAUUGGAGGGCAAGUCUGGUGCCAGCAGCCGCGGUAAUUCCAGCUCCAAUAGCGUAUAUUAAAGUUGUUGCGGUUAAAAAGCUCGUAGUUGGUUCUGCGUGCCACGCUGUCGGUUCGCCGCCUGUCGGUGUAACUGGCAUGUCGUGGCAUGUCCUGUCGGUGGUGAACGGGGUCCCUGGGAGGAUGUAGGCUUUUAGCUGAAAUCUGUACCGUGGUGAAUCCCGUUUGCCGAUCUCUCCUACUCCGGUGCUCUUAAACGAGUGUCGAGGUAGGCCGACACGUUCACUUUGAACAAAUUAGAGUGCUUAAAGCAGGCUAAAAUAUCUGCCUGAAUAGUGGUGCAUGGAAUGAUAAAACAGGACCUCAGUUCUAUUUUGUUGGUUUUAGGAAUAUGAGGUAAUGAUCAAUGUGGACUGGCGGGGGCAUUCGUAUUGCGACGUUAGAGGUGAAAUUCUUGGAUCGUCGCAAGACGCACUAGAGCGAAAGCAUUUGCCAAGUAUGUCUUAAUUGAUCAAGAACGAAAGUUAGAGGUUCGAAGGCGAUCAGAUACCGCCCUAGUUCUAACCAUAAACGAUGCCAGCCAGCGAUCCGC
rnacentral:rRNA from 1 species